AUACGAAAGGUGCAAGCGUUGUUCGGAUUUACUGGGCGUAAAGAGAGUGUAGGUUGUUUAUUAAGUCGGAUGUGAAAUCCCGGGGCUCAACCCCGGAACUGCAUUCGAUACUGGUAGACUAGAGUUCGGGAGGGGUAAGCGGAAUUCCGUGUGUAGCAGUGAAAUACGUAGAUAUACGGAGGAACACCUGAGGCGAAGGCGGCUUACUGGACCGAUACUGACACUGAGACUCGAAAGCGUGGGUAGCAAACAGGAUUAGAAACCCCGGUAGUCC
rnacentral:rRNA from 1 species